rnacentral:rRNA from 1 species
GAUCCUGGCUCAGGAUGAACGCUGGCGGCGUGCUUAACACAUGCAAGUCGAACGAAGGAUACUUAAAAUGAGAGCUUCGGUCAGGAUUUUUAUUUAUCUUAGUGGCGGACGGGUGAGUAACGUGUGGGCAACCUGCCCUAUACUGGGGAAUAAUCACUGGAAACGGUGACUAAUACCCGCAUGUCAUUACGGAAGGGCAUCCUUCUGUAAGAAAAGGAGUAAUUCGGUAUAGGAUGGGCCCGGCAUCUGAUUAG